rnacentral:rRNA from 1 species
GACGAACGCUGGCGGCGUGCCUAAUACAUGCAAGUCGAACGCUUUUUCUUUCACCGGAGCUUGCUCCACCGAAAGAAAAAGAGUGGCGAACGGGUGAGUAACACGUGGGUAACCUGCCCAUCAGAAGGGGAUAACACUUGGAAACAGGUGCUAAUACCGUAUAACACUAUUUUCCGCAUGGAAGAAAGUUGAAAGGCGCUUUUGCGUCACUGAUGGAUGGACCCGCGGUGCAUUAGCUAGUUGGUGAGGUAACGGCUCACCAAGGCAACGAUGCAUAGCCGACCUGAGAGGGUGAUCGGCCACACUGGGACUGAGACACGGCCCAGACUCCUACGGGAGGCAGCAGUAGGGAAUCUUCGGCAAUGGACGCAAGUCUGACCGAGCAACGCCGCGUGAGUGAAGAAGGUUUUCGGAUCGUAAAGCUCUGUUGUUAGAGAAGAACAAGUGGAAUAGUAACUGAUUUCACCAUGACGGUAUCUAACCAGAAAGCCACGGCUAACUACGUGCCAGCAGCCGCAGUAACAC